CAGUCGCCGCGGUAAUACGUAGGUCCCGAGCGUUGUCCGGAUUUAUUGGGCGUAAAGCGAGCGCAGGCGGUUAGAUAAGUCUGAAGUUAAAGGCUGUGGCUUAACCAUAGUACGCUUUGGAAACUGUUUAACUUGAGUGCAAGAGGGGAGAGUGGAAUUCCAUGUGUAGCGGUGAAAUGCGUAGAUAUAUGGAGGAACACCGGUGGCGAAAGCGGCUCUCUGGCUUGUAACUGACGCUGAGGCUCGAAAGCGUGGAGAGCAAACAGGAUUAGAUACCCCGGUAGUCCCUGUCUCUUAUACA
rnacentral:rRNA from 1 species